CCCAAGCGACUGUUUACCAAAAACAUAGGUUUCUGCUAAGUCGCAAGACGAUGUAUAGGAGCUGACGCCUGCCCGGUGCUGGAAGGUUAAGGGGAUCUGUUAGAGUAAUCGAAGCAGUGAACUUAAGCCCCAGUAAACGGCGGCCGUAACUAUAACGGUCCUAAGGUAGCGAAAUUCCUUGUCGGGUAAGUUCCGACCCGCACGAAAGGCGUAACGAUUUGGGCACUGUCUCAACAACAGACUCGGUGAAAUUGUAAUUCCGGUGAAGAUGCCGGAUACCUGCGACAGGACGGAAAGACCCCAUGGAGCUUUACUGUAGCUUGACAUUGGGUCUUGGUACUACAUGUACAGGAUAGGUGGGAGGCUUUGAAACCAGGACGCCAGUUUUGGCGGAGCCAUCCUUGGGAUACCACCCUUGUAGUACUGGGACUCUAACCAUAGGCCAUGAAUCUGGUCUUGGGACACUGUCAGGUGGGCAGUUUGACUGGGGCGGUCGCCUCCCAAAAGGUAACGGAGGCGCUCAAAGGUUCUCUCAGUACGGUCGGAAAUCGUACGUAGAGUGUAAAGGCAAAAGAGAGCUUGAUUGCAAGACAUACAGGUCGAGCAAGGAUGAAAAUCGGACUUAGUGAUCCGGUGGUUCUGCGUGGAAGGGCCAUCGCUCAACGGAUAAAAGCUACCCUGGGGAUAACAGGCUUAUCUCCCCCAAGAGUCCACAUCGACGGGGAGGUUUGGCACCUCGAUGUCGGCUCAUCACAUCCUGGGGCUGUAGUAGGUCCCAAGGGUUGGGCUGUUCGCCCAUUAAAGUGGUACGCGAGCUGGGUUCAGAACGUCGUGAGACAGUUCGGUCCCUAUCCGUCGCAGGCGUAGGAAAUUUGAGAAGACCUGUCCUUAGUACGAGAGGACCGGGAUGGACG
rnacentral:rRNA from 1 species